UUAUAUUUUGGACAUUUGUUAAGGCUUUCAGCCAAAGCACCAGUCUGAAACCGGAGCCCACCUGUUUGAAGCCGGAUCCUGUUUGCUCGGAUCACUCGGCUGGGCUCAGGAGCUCCAGCAGCCCACUGCAGGACGCGUGGAGCGUGGGUACAGAGGCGUCGGAGGACCCGGUGUGUCCCGGCUCGGAUUCGUGGAUGCUCGAGACUCCCUUUUCCCGUAUUUCAAGAGCUGCUUUUGCUCGUCUGUGGCGAUCCCAAAAUAGCAGCCGGUGCAGAGUUUGAGAGAGGGGGCGCCUGGUGAGAUUAACUUGUGGUAGUUGUAAUGUUAUCAGAUACGACUUUAUCCGUUUUAUGUGAUUUUGUUUUUGUCUCCAUCCCUCUCUUUUCGCCUCUAUUUUGAGUUUCCAGCUCUGAUGCCACUUAGUCUGCUGGAGUCGUACUAAUUAGCGGCUUGAUUGACAGCUCGGUAAUUGGAUUUAUUUCAUAUCCGCUCCUUGAAGUUGUGGAGCCUGUUAUGGCACGACAGGAAAGGUUUAUCGGGCUUUAUUUCUUUAGAAAACAAUAAUAACACAGGAUUACUACUCUGGACUUGUUGGGAUUUUUGGUGGUUAUUCUAAAUUUAUUACUUGCCACAAUCUCAGUCCUUUUCACAGUCAUACCCUGAGCUUAUGAGGCCCAAAAAUACAGGACUAAUAAGGAGAUGUACUUUAGGGAAAAUGACAGGGAUAACUUUAUGGUAACAGUUUUAAUGCAGAAAUGCCCCUCAUAUUGAGUCUCCUUUCACCCUUUGAAUCUUUAAACUCCGAGGUAUUUGAUUCAGGAAUAUUCCACCAACAGAUGCCACAGGUGGAACGAUGAAAAGAUUAGCCACACACGUUGAAAUGGUAAACAAACAUAAAUAUAGUACGUUGUUCUAUACAAUGAUAAACUGUCCCUAUCUCCAAUCAAACAUUGGCUUGAUUAAAACGUGUUCAUCUGGUUAAGUUUGCAGCAUGUGGUUCCUGUCCAAGAGGACAACAGGUGCGCGGGGCUCACGAGUGAAAGAGCUGAAUUCAGUUCAAUUGGUUGCUGUGAUUUACACUGAUACGGGAUGUCUGAGUGAAUUUUUAGUCUUCGUGCACAAAUGUAAUUUCUGCACUUGAACUGACAUAAAACAUCUGCCUGUAGAUAUUAAGACUCAAUUUUCUAUUUCACAUAAAACUAACCACUUCAUAGAGGAUGGUCAAUUAAAACAUGUCCCAAGUGAAUCUGCUGGGCAUCUGUUUUCAAAUACACAAGCUUUGAACUGAGUCUGUUCAAAGAUGAAGAUGGUCUGAGUGUUUUCCAAUGCAAAUCCAGAUGAUGGAACUCUUAACAAAAGCUGAAGCAACUAGUUUAGACAUCAUGGGUGAACAAGUAAAGGGAAGACAGCGCUCAUUCGACUACAAAUUGUGUUACCUUUGAAGAAGCUGGAUGGAGGGAUAAUGAUACAGCAUGGGCCAAACUGAGAAAGAGGGAAGACUGUAAGGAGUGUCUGUAUAGGGAUCAAAAAAUGAGAAUGAGCUGCACUACUACUGAAAAACCAAAUGAGACCUACCUGUGACUGCAUGGCAGUGCAUAAAGGUUAACAAGACAAGCCUGUUUAAAUUCAUCAGACAUACCAGUAUGGUGCUGUCUGACUGUGUCAGUGCUGCACAGUUUGAAAGCCUGUUGCCUUAGAGUCAACACUGAGAGCCAAAAAGCCUCUGUGUUUGUGAGGUGGACUUCUCACCCGCUGCCACUGCUUAAUGCUGGAUGGUAUCACUGAUCCCUGAUGAGCCUAAAUGUGUCUUAUUUACACACUGUGUGCAUUCUGGUCAGUUUGAUGCUUCAUUUUUUUGUGUCCAUAGUGUGUAGGGUUCAACGUCCUCUGUAAGCAGCCUGUUUACCUCCUCCAAGUGGCUGUGUCCUUCACCUGCUGUUGUCCUCUUUUGCAGACCACAUGAGAUUUUAUUUUAAAGUCUUUCCAUCCAUCGUCUGACUCUGUGUGUGUGUGUGUGUGUGUGUGUGUUAAUAUGUGUGUAUGUGUGUGUUCGUGUCCUUGCUUCAAAAACCAAUUCUUGCCAAUGCCCAGUGCGCUGUAUGGCUUUUUAUUCCUAUCUGACUGUAAUAAUGGUUCAUAUAGGGAUGGAAGCCAUGCAUGGCGCUGGGAGCACAGCGCACAUGACUUUGGACUGGGCCACCCUGUCACCUUGCACACACACAAACACACAAAGGCGCAGACACACACACUCUCACUGCUGUAUGUAUAAGCACGCUCUGGAGAGCUUAUAUGUUCACAGAAGGCAAUAAAUGCAUGCACACAUCCAGGGGACCAUGAAGUAAAACCCUGUCAUCACAGAAAUAUGGAUGCACAUGCACUGCACUCUUUAACAUGAAUUCAUUUAUGCGUAUGCAUGCAAUAGGUAUGCUUAUGUUUGGUGCCUGAUUUACUCAUACACACACACACACUCAGGACAGAUACGGUCCUCUGGUCCCAUCAAGCCUCUUUACUGCAGCGAGUCAGUCUGAAGCUGUCUGACUUCAUCAGCUGACAGACAGCUCUCUGAAGUGAAACACACACAUCUGCCACUGCAUCCCAACAUGAUCGAUACGGAUCACAUCAGAGCAAAAUUAAAUUAAAUUGAACUGAAAUGAACCAAAUUGAUUUGGAGAGGCAGAACUCUUGGCAGGUGAACCACACAGACCCACCGCUACAUAAAUAAAAAAAAGGGGUGAAUUCAGCGAGGGUCUUUUCACCACUUAAUUUGUGUUCAUGGUCCCAGUGGGAUGAAGAGGGUAUCCCAGCAUGCAUCAGCAUGUAUGACAGUGAAAAUCCAAGGAGAUGGCUUGCAGAGACAGCUAAAGCCACUGCCUCUCUGUCUAAAGCAGAUACGGGCUUAAGGCUUUCUGACAUGAUUUAAGGAGACUGAUGCAGAGAGGAGGUGAAUCAAAAUGAAUAUCUCGUCUGUUCAAAAGGUGCCACUCAGAUUUGAUGAUGUUCCAGUCCCAUAAUAAAAUGACAAUGUAUGUGUGAUGCCUUCAUAACAGAGCAGUUUCACAUCACUGACCACUGUUCUGACCCUGAGUGAUAGAGUAUUUCUGUUCUCUGCUGUCCUAUUGUCAUAUUGUUCCUCCCUGCCUGAGGGUGGAGCUGCCACCCUGGGUGUUUUUGUCUCUUUCCAGGUGCUGGCUGAUCAGUGGUGAAUGGCAAUAGGAGAAGCUGCUAUAAAAUGGCCGUUGAUGGAGGUGCUUGCUCUCUUCUCUGGACCCUGCUCCCAAAUAUACCAUGUUUUGUUGUUUUUACUACAUUUGAGAUACUUAAUUCAUUUCAGCCCAGCAGUCCAAGCAGCCGUAGG
rnacentral:lncRNA from 1 species